UACGAAGGGGGCGAGCGUUGUUCGGAUUUACUGGGCGUAAAGGGCGCGCAGGCGGCUCAUUUUGUCAGGCGUGAAAGCCCCGGGCUUAACCUGGGAACUGCGUUUGAGACGGAUGGGCUAGAGUUCGGGAGAGGAGAGUGGAACUGCGAGUGUAGAGGUGAAAUUCGUAGAUAUUCGCAAGAACACCAGUGGCGAAGGCGGCUCACUGGCCCGAUACUGACGCUGAGGCACGAAAGCGUGGGGAGCAAACAGG
rnacentral:rRNA from 1 species